rfam:Rhodopseudomonas palustris CGA009 complete genome.
GCAUGCCGGGUGACAACCGGCCGCAACGGGGAUGGCGGACGUGGCUCAUUUUGCCGGUUUCUGGCCACGACACCAACGCAUCGGUACGCGCUGACGCCUAACCCGUUCCCGGC